rnacentral:rRNA from 1 species
UGAUCCUGGCUCAGAAGGAACGCUGGCAGCGUGCAUAACACAUGCAAGUCGAACGGGAUUAUUAUCUUCGGAUGAUAUGAGAGUGGCGAACGGGUGAGUAACACGUAAGAAUCUACCUUUAGGACGGGGAUAACUUCUGGAAACGGAUGCUAAUACCCGAUAUGCUGUGGAGUGAAAGGAAUUUCGCCUAAAGAUGAUCUUGCGUCUGAUUAGCUAGAUAGCGUGGUAAUGGCGCACUAUGGCGACGAUCAGUAGCUGGUCUGAGAGGAUGGACAGCCACAUUGGAACUGAGACACGGUCCAAACUCCUACGGGAGGCAGCAGUGGGGAAUUUUCCGCAAUGGGCGAAAGCCUGACGGAGCGACGCUGCGUGAAGGAUGACGGCCUGCGGGUUGUAAACUUCUUUUCUCGAAGAAGAAUAAAUGACGGUAUUCGAGGAAUAAGCAUCGGCUAACUCUGUGCCAGCAGCCGCGGUAAGACAGAGGAUGCAAGUGUUAUUCGGAUUGAUUGGGCGUAAAGCGUCUGUAGGCGGUUUGGAAAGUCUUUUGUGAAAUUCUUCAGCUCAACUGGGGGUCCGCAAAAGAAACUUCUAGGCUUGAGGGAAGUAGAGGUACAGGGAAUUUCCGGUGGAGCGGUGAAAUGCGUAGAUAUCGGAAGGAACACCAAUAUGGCGAAGGCACUGUACUGGGCUUUACCUGACGCUAAGAGACGAGAGCUAAAGGAGUGAUUAGGAUUAGAUACCCUAGUAAU